AUGGAGAAGAUCAUGCUCUUUUGUGUUUUUUCAUACUUGAUUAUUCAGAUCAGCUCCAGCGACAAGCUGACAGACAGAGAAGACAAAGUUCAGUCCGUCACAGAUCUGCCAGAGAUCACAGGUGAGAGCAGAAAUCAUUCUUACUCGUAUUUUAUUUUAUUUCAGGAAAUUAUUUAUUUUAUUUUUUACAUUAUUUUUAUUUCAGGAGUCAAGUGCAUUAGUGUAUUUGUUAUAGGUUAUGCAAAUUUUAAUAAUCUAAAGAUCAUUUUGUCCAAUGGAAAUAUUACAUGGAUGUUCUUCA
rnacentral:lncRNA from 1 species